rnacentral:lncRNA from 12 species
GGAUACCUGCCCACUGUUCCUCCCCGGAGCCUUUUUGACAGGGGCAGAAUGAGGAGUAAUAACUGGAUUAUUGCAGCUGUGUGAAGGCAACCAAUUACUGGUUGAAGCAGGGCAGCUUCUAAUUGAAACGGUACAACCCCAGCAGUGAGUCUCU